GUGAAUUUGGAAUAGUGAAACUGAUUUUGGAAGAAAGAUGAGAUAGAAAAGGAGGGUGGCUUACUGAAGGCAGAAGCCAGAAGACAAGCGUUUGCUGGUUUUUUCGGCUUUCCAAAUUGUUCUCUUCCUUUUUCUCAUUUUUAUUUUUUCAUUUUCCUUUACUUAUCUUUUCUUUUGCUCUCACUUUAUUUCUGCACUUUACUUUGUUCUUAGAUCCUCUUCUUCUUCUUCGUCUUCUUCUAUCUCUAUCUUCUUUUUUCUCUAUUUCCUUUCUUUAGAGAGAGAAUCUCACUCUCUCUCUUUAGAUUGUGACAUUCGAAGAAAGUCGAUGCUAAACACUUUUAUCGACUAUGGUUGCUCUCUGACCACAGAAUUUGCUUGCUAGCUAUGUGUUGCUGCUUCUUCACUCGACAUGGACACCCCUGAGAAGACCCAGAUCACCACUUCCCUUUCUAAAUUCGAGGAUUCCCCUAUCUUCAACUACAUCAAUAGUCUUUCUCCAAUCAAGCCAGUAAAGUCGGUACACAUUACUCAGGCAUUACAUUCACUUAGUUUUGGAUCUCUUCCGUCAAUUUUCACUUCUCCCCAUCUUAGCUCUAACAAGGAAUCUAGGUUUUUAAGAAGGCAUCACUACUCAGAUCCCUCAAAAUCUGAGUUCUCAUCUGAAAAUGGAAAUAAAGUCAGCAGUGAUGAAGGGACAGCUUUGGAUGUUGCUCAGUCGUAUGAUAACUCAGCUGAGCUACAGGAAAAUUUUAAUCCAGGGGCGUCUAUUGGAGAAGUUUCUGUGGAACCUCCUAGCGAAGAUUUGAGAUUUGCAGUUGAGCUGCCACGGAGGUUAAAAUAUGGUUGUGGGAGCCCGGAAUAUGAUCCAACACCUCGUUGUGGUCCCCAAAUUGAUUGCUCGUCAGAAUUGGCUGGCAUCUCUCGAAAAUGUUCACCUGAACGUGAAAUGCAUCUACAAAGGGUAUACCAGGCUGAGCAGAAGAAAGAAGCAACAGAUUGUGAUUGGGAGAGUUUGAUAUCAGAUUCUAACGACCUAUUAAUUUUUAAUUCCCCAACUGACACAGAGGCUUUUAAGGGGCUAAUGCAGAAAUCACUGGAUCUUGGUACUAGUUUUUCUGCUUCUCUUGGCGAGGUACAUAAAGUGCAAAUAGGUCCUUCAACCCAACCUGGAGAAACUAUUGUGCCAAAGGAAAUAAACCAGAAACGGGACAACCUUGCUGACAAUGGCAAUCCAAAUGAGUGCACGACUAGCAAUCCAAAUGAGGACGUGGAUAAUGAGGUGGGAAUGUCCGCUGGGGCUGUUUCUAAGGUAAGGAUGCAACUUGUUUCAAUUGUCCAAAAUUCAUGGAUGUGGCCCAAUUUUGGGGUUACUUUUCAAACAUUACUAUGAUCUAAAGUUAGCCCCCAAAUUUUUGCUAGCAACUGUUAGAGGAGCUGGGAAGUAUAAAAUAGUCAUUUAUUUGGCACAUUAAUGAUGGAUUGUCAGUCAGCUUCUCUCCUAACUGCAGGAACUGUCAGGGCGAGUAGAGAGUCCUUUGCCAUAUGUUAUUUUUAGUUGUAGGCAUAUCCUUCCAACUUAUAUUCAAUGUUAGGCUAACAUUAUAUUUCACUAAAAUGAUCUUGGCCAAGCAGCUUACCAUAUAAAAUUAUAAAUAUAACUUGGAAGAUAUAUAGGUUUACAGCAUAAAAUGUAAAAAAGUGAUGUGUGAGACAAUCAAAUAUGGUUUGUCUUACAAUCAGCAUAAUUAGUUAAUCAAUAUUUGAAAAGAAAUUCUACCAAGAUUUGAUAUUUGUAUAGGAUAGCAGCAUCAUUACCAUAUUCUGUACCGCAAAUUUCAUUGAAUUUUCAAUUUCCUAGACUUCAUCAAAACACCAUCCAACUCCAGCUAACCUUCUGAUAUGUAUGGCUUCUUUGUUCAUUGGUCUUUUUGUAACUUUAUAGACUUUUUUACUCUUGGAGAAUUCUCAUGUUUUCUUCCUAUUGUUAGUACAGGACAAACUCCUUUGAAUGGUUGGAUAACAUUUUUCUUUGGCUGCCUGUUUGUAGGCAGUUUCUAUUUUGCAUCGAGGCAUACGAAGGCGUUGUCUAGAUUUUGAGAUGGCAGGAGCUCGUAGGAAGAACUUAGGUGAUAGUUCAAAUUUAACUACUUCUGUAGGAGGGCAAUCUGAUGAGAAGAUUGCCUCCAUAGAUAAGCGAUUCUUUCCUUUUAAGCCUGGCAGUGAUUCUUCAAGGUGUGUUUUACCUGGAAUUGGCUUGCACUUAAAUGCUCUGGCAAUAACUUCCAAGGAUACCAAAAAUGCGAAGCAUGAAACUUUGUCUUCUGUAAUAAGUUUACCCAGCACUGUUGCUUCCUUUCACUCCCCAAGUACGGGCCAAGAACUUAAUGAAUCACUGUCUUUAGCCGCUGCUGACGUAGACAUGGAUCCAACUGAAAGUGAUGUUCCACUUGUGGAAGAUGUUCCUCAGACAUCUGCUUGUUUAGUUACUGAAGAGUUCAAACAUAGUAGCCCCAAAAAGAAGAGGCAUAAGUUGGAAGGAGAAAGUGAAGCCUGCAAGCGUUGUAACUGUAAGAAGUCAAAGUGUUUGAAACUUUACUGUGAAUGUUUUGCUGCUGGUGUCUACUGCAUAGAACCAUGUUCAUGUCAAGAAUGCUUCAACAAGCCUAUUCAUGAAGAUACUGUUCUUGCAACUCGCAAACAGAUUGAAUCUCGCAACCCACUUGCAUUUGCUCCAAAAGUCAUUAGGAGCUCUGAAACUGCAAUCGAAAUUGGGGUUAGAAUUUUAAUUUUAAUAUUGCCUGUUUCCUUUAUCUGUGUUAAACUUCUUUCUUAAUUUGUGUGCUUCUGUAAACUAGGAUGAAUCCAGCAAAACUCCUGCUUCAGCAAGACAUAAAAGAGGAUGCAACUGCAAGAAAUCUAGUUGCCUCAAGAAAUACUGUGAAUGCUAUCAGGUUUUCCUCAUUGGAGUACUCUAUGCUUUUCAUAAUUCAUAAAGACUGAUUUAUUAUCAUGGUUUUCUUUGAAGGGUGGUGUUGGAUGCUCCGUUAAUUGCAGAUGUGAAGGAUGUAAGAAUGCAUUUGGUAUAAAGGAUGGUGAGUUUUCAUGAUUGCUUUAAAAGUUUGUGCUAUUGGAACCAUCAGUAAUUUUACCCUAAUCAAUUUCCUGAUCUAAAAUAAUGUAGUUAAUGCUGAAAUUAUUUGAAACUGCGAAUUUUUUUGAAGUACUUGAAACUUUUGGAGUUCAGGAUCUGCUCCUACAGAAAAAGAAGCUGAACCAGAAGAUGAAACAGGAGGUGAAAAUAGUAUAAUUUUGCAGAAAACUGAAAUGCAGAAUAAUGAAGAGCAAAAUCCAAAUUCUGCUCUUCCCAUGACACCAUUAGCGCUUUGCAGACAAUUGCUUCAACUGCCAUUUUCAUCAAAGACCAAACCACCGAGAUCUUAUCUCAGUGUUGGAUCAUCUUCUGGAUUCUAUCCUGGCCCAAAAUAUGGUAAACCGAAUAUUCUGAGGCCUCGGCCAAAGCUUGAGACGCAAGUACAAACCCCUCAUGAUGAUGAUAUGCCUGAGAUCCUCAGAGGCAACUUCUCUCCAAGCACUGGCAUCAAGACUUCUCCCAACAGCAAGAGGGUUUCUCCGCCUCACAGUAUUUUAGGAUCAUCACCUGCUCAAAGGAGUGGCCGGAAGUUGAUAUUGCAAUCCAUUCCUUCAUUUCCUUCUCUCACUCCCCAGCAUUGAAAUGAAAUCUUUCCCAUAAAGAUUAGAUGAAAUUCUUUAAACCUUUGUUGCUUUCAGAUGUAGUAGUUGAGCGUUAGUUCAGCUCUUCUUGUACAAUAAUAUGCUCUCUUACUCUUGUAAGUCAUAAUGUUCAAGCACUUCAAGUCAUUGUAUAAUAUGGUAAUUUUUUUUCCUAAUUUUGUUUAUUUACCUUCAUUUUUAAAGCUCAAUUGCAUCAUUGUUAUAAAUAUAAAUUUUCUCAAACCUGUGUUAGA
rnacentral:misc_RNA from 1 species